GAUGAACGCUGGCGGCGUGCUUAAUACAUGCAAGUCGAGCGAACAGACGAGGAGCUUGCUCCUCUGACGUUAGCGGCGGACGGGUGAGUAACACGUGGAUAACCUACCUAUAAGACUGGGAUAACUUCGGGAAACCGGAGCUAAUACCGGAUAAUAUAUUGAACCGCAUGGUGCAAUAGUGAAAGACGGUUUUGCUGUCACUUAUAGAUGGAUCCGCGCCGCAUUAGCUAGUUGGUAAGUUAACGGCUUACCAAGGCGACGAUGCGUAGCCGACCUGAGAGGGUGAUCGGCCACACUAGAACUUGGACGCGGUCCAGACUCCUAAGGGAGGCAGCAGUAGGGAAUCUUCCGCAAUAGGCGAAAGCCUGACGGAGCAACGCCGCGUGAGUGAUGAAGGUCUUCGGUUCGUAAAACUCUGUUAUUAGGGAAGAACAGAUGUGUAAGUAACUAUGCACGUCUUGACGGUACCUGAUCAGGAAGCCACGGCUAACUACGUG
rnacentral:rRNA from 1 species